ACCCUGGUAGUCCACGCUGUAAACGAUGUCGACUUGGAGGUUGUGCCCUUGAGGCGUGGCUUCCGGAGCUAACGCGUUAAGUCGACCGCCUGGGGAGUACGGCCGCAAGGUUAAAACUCAAAUGAAUUGACGGGGGCCCGCACAAGCGGUGGAGCAUGUGGUUUAAUUCGAUGCAACGCGAAGAACCUUACCUACUCUUGACAUCCAGAGAACUUUCCAGAGAUGGAUUGGUGCCUUCGGGAACUCUGAGACAGGUGCUGCAUGGCUGUCGUCAGCUCGUGUUGUGAAAUGUUGGGUUAAGUCCCGCAACGAGCGCAACCCUUAUCCUUUGUUGCCAGCGGUUCGGCCGGGAACUCAAAGGAGACUGCCAGUGAUAAACUGGAGGAAGGUGGGGAUGACGUCAAGUCAUCAUGGCCCUUACGAGUAGGGCUACACACGUGCUACAAUGGCAUAUACAAAGAGAAGCGACCUCGCGAGAGCAAGCGGACCUCAUAAAGUAUGUCGUAGUCCGGAUUGGAGUCUGCAACUCGACUCCAUGAAGUCGGAAUCGCUAGUAAUCGUGGAUCAGAAUGCCACGGUGAAUACGUUCCCGGGCCUUGUACACACCGCCCGUCACACCAUGGGAGUGGGUUGCAAAAGAAGUAGGUAGCUUAAC
rnacentral:rRNA from 1 species